rnacentral:lncRNA from 1 species
UUUAACUUCUGUCAUUCUCCCUUCGUCUCUUAGGAAUGCGUCCUUGACCGGAGAGGUCGGAAAGCUGGCCGGUUCUAGGCCCCGAGAAAACGCCGCCCCCUCCGGGAAGUCCUCGAGCCUGCAGGAGACAUCUAGCCCGCUGUCCAGGGCACCUUUUUUUUUCUCCCUAUAUUUCGGUUGCUCGCGUCUCUUGGUGUGGUUUGCCCACGUCUGCAGCGCCAGACAGCAUUCCUUCUGCGUGGAACAUGCCAACCCUCGUCUGCUUUGACUUUGCAAAACUGCAUGAGACCGCCGGGCGCGGUGGCUCACGCCUGUAAUCCCAGCACUUCAAGAGGCCGAGGCAGACAGAUCACCUGAGAAAGGGAAAUGGAGACACAGAGAACAGAAGCAGCCUGUCCUAGUUACUCAAAGUGUGGGCAGAGGAAUGACUGGAUGCCCUGCCUCCAGACUCACGCUGAGUCCCACCCCGAACCACACUGCAGUGCCACCCUGCCACCUCUUGGACAGAGUGCCCCAGGAGCAGCCCCAGAAGAAAGCCUCAGGAGGCCAGCAUGUCUCUGGGCAACAGAACAAACCGCCGACUGGCCUGGGAGGGCAGGCUUCCAAGGGUCCUCGUGGCUACCCAGCCCAUCUGCUCAGCCAACUGCUUGCAUCUGGAACUCCAGUUUAAUCAUGAAAAAAACAUCUGACAAACCCAAAUGGAGGAACACCCACAAAAUGCCUCGUCACUGCUUUUCAAAAGGGCCAAGGUCAUGAAAACCGAGAAAGAACUGAGAAACCAUCUCACAUCGGAGGAGGCACGAUGGCUAAAUGCACCCCGGUCGCCCUGGACUGGAUCCGGAAAUAGUAAAAGUGCAUUAGUGGAAAACUGGUGAAAUCCACCGAAAGUCUGCAGUUGGUGAUAGUAUUGAAUCAAUGUUAAUCUCAUAGUUUUGACAAAUGCACCACGGUUACGUACGCGAGACGUUAACAUUAGGGGGAACUGCGUGGAG